UAUUUCCUGAAUGUAAUCCAGCCUGAUCGCGUUCUCUUAGUCAUUCCUGGAGCCAUCUUAUUACUCACGUUCAAAGACUGUCAAAGUUUGAUAUGCUGGCAGUUUUUGUCUUUACAGUCCCAGUGUCCAACCAGUGUCAACACCUGGCUCAUAGUAGAUGGUAAGUCAAUCUUUGUUGAAUUAAUCAAUUCUACAGCAUCCCAAAGGAAGAAUCUAAUUUAUUAGACCAAAUUUUUCAUGGAAAAUUAUUUGAGAAAACUGGAAAACUGAGGCACUCAUUAGUUAACCUAAUUUUUUAGGUCUAUAGUGUUCAAUUUAAUGAAAUUGAACAUUUAUUGAAUUGAGUGCCUGCUCUUUGCUAGCCCUUGUGUUGGCUCAAAUGUAAAUACUUUAAGGGCAAGGAGACUUUCAUUUUUGUCUUUGUGUCCUUACCCUCUGGAAUAGUUACUGGCACUUGUGAGGAACUAAUUAAUGGAUUACAUGAGUGGGCAAAGACAAGAUUCUGCCAAAGAUACAAAUGAUAACUUUGUGGAAGACCUUACCAAAUUCAGGCCUUUUCAUUAAAAUAUGCUGAAACCAUUCUUGAGACUUAUUUGGCUCAAGAGGAUCAAAGUCUUGAGGUAUGAGAAACUCUAGGACAUGAAGAGUCGGUGCCAUCCCUCAGACUUCUGAUGAGAGGACCAUCUUGGACAACACAGACAGGAAGAGCAGAUCCGACUGAAUCAGCGUUGCUUCCUUGCUGACUAUCCUUCCCCUGCUUAUGUCUAAGUAAAGCUCCUUUUGUUUGAUAUUUAUUCUAAGAUUGGCUCCAAAUUCAACAGAUUAGUCUGAGUC
rnacentral:lncRNA from 1 species